GUAUAUGAUAUAUAAACUGAUAUAUGAUAUGAUAUAAAAACGAAAUUUGAAUUGAAAAAAAAGCAGUGGAUUUUUUCCCAUCCUCCCAUGAUUCUGAAUAUAUUAUUUUCAUAGUCAUGUCACAAUUUGUGUAAGAGCUAUUGAAGAUUGAAAGCAAAAAAAGGAACAAAAAAAGAUCAUACAAAAAAGAAAAAGCAGUGGAUUUUUGUACAUUCUCCUCUGAUUCUGAACAUGUCAUUUUCAUAGUCAUGUCAUGUUUAAGACUAUUGAAGAUUUGAAAUCCGAAAUUGUAUUAUUUACAAAAAUUCAUGAAAAGAGUGUGAAUUUUUCGCCAUCCACCCCUGAUUCAUAUGUGAAUGUGAAUUCCCUCCUGAUCCAUUUGACAUUACAUUGACAUACCUUAUGAUUGCUGUGCUCGUGUUCUCCUACGUUUUCAGGAGAGCAGACUUGUGGACCACACCAGUUCACGUGCCAGGAGGGCCAGUGUAUUCCCAAAGUGUACCGAUGUGACCGAGUGAAGGAUUGUUUGGACAACUCAGACGAGAACAACUGCAACUACCCCAGCUGCACUGAGAAAACCUGUGCCAAUGGAGCUUGCUACAAUAACUCGCAACACUGCAACGGGCUGCAGAACUGUAGGGACGGCUCAGACGAAUCCAACUGCACGACACAGCAAUGUCCUCUGCACCAGUUCCAGUGCACCAAUGGCCACUGUAUCCCUAUGUCCUUCAUCUGUGACCACUGGGACGACUGCGGGGACAACAGCGAUGAACAAG